rnacentral:rRNA from 1 species
CCUACGGGGGACAGCAGUGAGGAAUAUUGGUCAAUGGACGAGAGUCUGAACCAGCCAAGUAGCGUGAAGGAUGACUGCCCUAUGGGUUGUAAACUUCUUUUAUAUGGGAAUAAACUGUUCCACGUGUGGGAUUUUGUAUGUACCAUAUGAAUAAGGAUCGGCUAACUCCGUGCCAGCAGCCGCGGUAAUACGGAGGAUCCGAGCGUUAUCCGGAUUUAUUGGGUUUAAAGGGAGCGUAGGUGGAUUGUUAAGUCAGUUGUGAAAGUUUGCGGCUCAACCGUAAAAUUGCAGUUGAAACUGGCAGUCUUGAGUACAGUAGAGGUGGGCGGAAUUCGUGGUGUAGCGGUGAAAUGCUUAGAUAUCACGAAGAACUCCGAUUGCGAAGGCAGUUCACUGGACUGCAACUGACACUGAGGCUCGAAAGUGUGGGUAUCAAACAGGAUUAGAUACCCUUGUAGUC